GGGAAUGGACGAUUGGGAUCGAUUGAGCGUCCUUGAUGAGCGAGGUGGCUUCAUCUCACAGUCUGAAGGACGAUUCCUGUGUGCCACUUCUGCUACUGUGACUGCGAGGACGAAAGCGACACGGGAGGAAGAAGACAAAGAGCAUACUGGGCGUUGCUGUAUGCGUUUUUCAACUGCUGCUUUCCCUGUAUUGCACCGUCUAUCGCCGUGAAAGUAGGAGGCGUCCAUUACAGCUGGGACUGUUGUGGUUCUGGGUUUCCCCUUUUGACGCCGCUUA
rnacentral:misc_RNA from 1 species